rnacentral:rRNA from 1 species
CAGUAGCCGCGGUAAUACGAAGGGGGCUAGCGUUGUUCGGAUUUACUGGGCGUAAAGCGCACGUAGGCGGACUUUUAAGUCAGGGGUGAAAUCCCGGUGCUCAACCCCGGAACUGCCUUUGAUACUGGAAGUCUUGAGUAUGGUAGAGGUGAGUGGAAUUCCGAGUGUAGAGGUGAAAUUCGUAGAUAUUCGGAGGAACACCAGUGGCGAAGGCGGCUCACUGGACCAUUACUGACGCUGAGGUGCGAAAGCGUGGGGAGCAAACAGGAUUAGAUACCCCAGUAGUCCCUGUCUCUUAUAC